GUGAAGGCCAAGAAGCACCAGAUCAAACAGGCUGUGAAGAAGCUCUGUGACAUUGACGUGGCCAAGGUCAACACCCUGGGCAGGCCUGAUGGAGAGAAGAAGGUGUCUGCUCGACUGGCUCCC